UGGGGAAUAUUGCACAAUGGGCGGAAGCCUGAUGCAGCAACGCCGCGUGCGGGAUGACGGCCUUCGGGUUGUAAACCGCUUUCGCCUGUGACGAAGCGUGAGUGACGGUAAUGGGUAAAGAAGCACCGGCUAACUACGUGCCAGCAGCCGCGGUGAUACGUAGGGUGCGAGCGUUGUCCGGAUUUAUUGGGCGUAAAGGGCUCGUAGGUGGUUGAUCGCGUCGGAAGUGUAAUCUUGGGGCUUAACCCUGAGCGUGCUUUCGAUACGGGUUGACUUGAGGAAGGUAGGGGAGAAUGGAAUUCCUGGUGGAGCGGUGGAAUGCGCAGAUAUCAGGAGGAACACCAGUGGCGAAGGCGGUUCUCUGGGCCUUUCCUGACGCUGAGGAGCGAAAGCGUGGGGAGCGAACAGGCUUAGAUACCCUGGUAGUCCACGCUGUAAACGGUGGGUACUAGGUGUGGGGGUCCAUUCCACGGGUUCCGUGCCGUAGCUAACGCUUUAAGUACCCCGCCUGGGGAGUACGCCGCAAGGCUAAAACUCAAAUGAAUUGAC
rnacentral:rRNA from 1 species